GCGUGAGUGAAGAAGGCCUUAGGGUUGUAAAGCUCUUUCGGUGGUGACGAUGAUGACGGUAGCCACAGAAGAAGCACCGGCUAACUCCGUGCCAGCAGCCGCGGUAAUACGGAGGGUGCAAGCGUUGUUCGGAAUUACUGGGCGUAAAGGGCGCGUAGGCGGCGAUGCAAGUCAGAGGUGAAAGCCCUGGGCUCAACCCGGGAAUGGCCUUUGAAACUGCAUGGCUUUGAGUCCGGGAGAGGAUGGCGGAAUUCCCAGUGUAGAGGUGAAAUUCGU
rnacentral:rRNA from 1 species